CGGGAUGUAGUAUAUCGGUAGUACGCCUGCUUUGGGAGCAGGUAGGCCGGGUUCGAUUCCCGGCAUCCCGA
rnacentral:tRNA from 1 species